GGGCGCAUAGCGCAGUGGUAGCGCGUCCGCUUUGCAUGCGGAAGGCCCCGGGUUCAAUCCCCGGUGUGUCCA
rnacentral:tRNA from 1 species